CCCUUGCGCUGUGUCUCCACUUUCUGGUUCCAGCAGCCCUUUUUCCUUCAUUGUCCAAGAAGUUUCCUGGACUAGACCCCAAGGGAAGCCCGAGGAGGAGACAGCUUUCUCCUCUCUCCUUCUUGCCAGGGGCAUUGACUGCAUCACUUGGCUCCCCAUGAACCUUAGCGUCUUCUUCUGUGGCAUUAGGGUGGUAAUUCCUGUUCUGUAUGCUUCCAGGACUGAUGAUCACAUCCCAAAUGGCGACGUAGAAGUGUGGCCCUUGCAUUGUAUCUGGGUCCACUGUCACCAUUAUGUGCCUUUAAAUUUCUGACAUGCACCACAACACAGAACAUUCUGCAUGUGUUUUACUAGAUUCUCCUAGCACUCGGACGACCCGAGGAUGCUAUAGAUUAUCUGGACAUCUGUGACUGAGACACUGAGGCCUGGAGAGGUCGAGGAAGGAGCCAGAAGUGGAAACAGCUGGACCCAGUCUUGCUCUCUUCACCUCUAUGGGCUUAACCCUGAUUCCAAGGCUUCUUCUUCAGCUGCCGCUCUUUGCAGGUGGUAUCUGUGUGAGCAUUUGAGUUACAUUUUGUCUGUAACAAUGUAACAGAUGUCAUUGUGUGAAGGGGUUACAUUUCUCACAGCCGGCCUCUACACCGUCCUUAGUGCUGGGAAUACAACAUGGACACCAGGAAGUCAGGAAGAGCUCUUGCCCUCAAACUGCAAUUGGGAGUAGGGUGGGGGUGGCAGUGUCUGAGACAGGAAGCAAAGGACAGACACCUGCUACCGUUACAUUUAAGAUGGAGUUAGUGCCUUGUAUGAUAAGGGCUGGUUGCACAGAAAUGGCACCCUCGGGUGGCAGAGGGGCGCAGGUGGAGUUUGGGGCUCAGUGGGUUAAGGUGCUUGCUGUGUGAGCCCGAUUAGAAGGUGGGAAGGCAGAACCAACGCUGCCCUCUAACUCCACACAUGUGCCGAUUUGUCUCUCAUAUAAUAGUAAAAAUUUUAAAAGAAACAGAGGCGGGCUGGAGCUCUUGGUAGGAGCAUCCAGGAGCAGAGGACAGAGGUUUGCCUGAGUCAGGGCAGGUCCUUAGGGAAGUGAUUGAGAGGAAAGGGGAAGAGGGUGGGUCGCAGAGACUCUCAAAUGCAAGCUCAAGGGUUGGUUUGUUGUCUGUUGGUGUGCUCUCUCCAAGGUCUCCUGUAGCCCAGGAGGCCUUCGCGUACCCACAGUGUAACCCAGGGUUACCUUGAAUUCCUGUCUCUACUUCUCAAGCACUGACACACACAACUGUUCUACAUGCUGGGGUCAAGCCUUUGUGGAUGGCUCUUACGUAUGUUAGGUAUAUGCUCUACUCAUGCUACACCUCCCAGACCCCUGAGAGCUGCAGAGCAGGAGUUCUCAGGGGUGACUGACUUGGACCUUCAGGGGACUUCUGAUGGCAGCUAUGGCUAGGAAGAAGGAAUGCAAUUACUAUCUAGUUGGUAGAAUCCAGGGACACUGGGAAACAUCUCAAUACAGCCCAGAACCAAAGAGGCGACCCCCAAUCAUGGGCUAAACAAGAAAUUCUGUCUAGGAGACUUUACAGUGGGAGUAAGACCCUUGGUCACGUCUGCUCAGACAUAGGCUGCUGUAACAGGCCAUCUCGCUUUGUGCAGCUAUAACCCAGGUAGCCACAUGCUCUGCUUCCUUACUCAAUUCUUCUAUUUUCAGUAGUGAGCUUAGCCUGUAAUGGCUGAUCCAUCUCUCCGGCCCUCCAGUUCCCACCCCCCUACCCUCUACCCGACGCCCCCGGGACUGAACCCAGGGCCUCGAACUUGCUAGGCAAGCGCUCUACCACUGAGCUAAGUCCCCAACCUCCAGCCCUCCAAUCCUUAUUCCCAAGGAAGAAUGCCUUUAAAGGCGGGUGUGUAGGGAGCGCCAGCCCUCGGGCUAAGCUGCUCUUGGGUGUUCACUUAGGGAUCUUCUCAGUGAUUUGGUGAUGUAAACCCCAUGUGACACACAGGGAAACAGGCCCUCUUGGGGACGUGUGUGUCUUGUUUGCUGCUGUCUAUAGAGCAGUAUCUAAGCCAGUGUUUGUGGGAGAGGAAAUGAACUCCCACUGUAAAUGCUUCAUGGCUUCAGGGUUCACAGAUCUCCUGUCACUGUGAAGAAACGGAGGCCCAGAGAGGUGGAGGGUCUCCUGUGGAGUAACACACCAGGACCUCCUUCCUUGCUUUUCUAUUGAAUACCUGGGAGUGCCAGUUUCCUUGGACCACUGGAACCUUACUCUGCUUCUACUGCUGGCGGGUGGGACUGACAGCCAGAGGGACAUUUCUGAGAUGCUCAGAGGGUGACAGGGUAGGUCUUCCUGGAGUCCCAGCCAAGCUGGAAAGCAGAGCUUGUUGUAGUCUGAGUAGGGAGCUCAGUCAGUGCAAUGUGAGAAUUCAGAGAGAUUCAGAUGCCAAGCAGUCUCCAUGCUAUGUCCUUUGGGUGGACGUCUCAGCAAGUCCCACACCCCAAGCAGCAUGCAGAGAUGGCAUUCCUAUUGUUACUUGUCAAAAGUUUAGAGAAAUAUUCUGUCUAAGGGAAUCCAUGAGGAGGCUGAAGACCAGCUAUUAUCUUGAUGUCCCCAUUAACUUGAACUCAGCGUGUGAAUGGCCAGGGCUUUACUAUUUGAAGUCCUGAUCUUCAUUUUGGAAACAGGGUCAUAGACCUCAGCCUCAAGGUCUAUAGAAGAACCACAAUGAACAUGGUCCAGCACCAUCCACAAAAUAAUAGGUUCUACUCUUGGACCCCUCCUCAGGUCUGGACUUUGGGGUGAAAAAGUCAACUUGAGGGAGGGAGAGUUUAUUUCAGCCCAUGGUUCAAGGAGAGGGAAGGGAAGGCAAGCUGGGCAGGAGCAUGAAGCAGCUGAUCACACCCAUAAACAGGAAGCAAACAGAAGCACGCUCAGCCCCUUCUCCGUCUUCCACAGUUCAGGAUCCUACCAAGGGAAUGAUGCCACCCACAGUGGACGGGUCUUCUGACCUCAAUUAAUACAAUCGAGAUAACUCCCUGGGUAUGCCUAAGAGGUUCAUCUUCUACUUGAUUCUGGGUUCUGUCAGGUUGACAUCAUCCUUCACAGAAGAUAUCAGAGGGUAAAAACCAAGGUCAGGCAGGAUCCUCCUGAGAUUGCUUGAUUGUCCCAUGAACCAGGGUCCUGAUGUUCAGUGUACCUUUCCAAUGUAUUGGGCUACCUUAGGCCACAAAGUGGCAAUGCCUGGGGAGGGAGUGUAUGGUGCUUUUUCCAGGCUUCCCCCACAGUUAAUGGGACAAAUGAGGGUGUAGUCUUCAUUAGUGUGUGGUAAUUUCCUGCAAGAUGGAAUCUUGUAGGGACACUAGUUAAGACUCAGGCAUGAGACUGGAGAGAUGCUUCAUUGUAAGAGCAUACACUGCUCUUCUUGGAGGACUACUGAAAAAUUUUUUUAAAAAAGAUUUAUCAUUUAUUAUAUAUAUAAGUACACUGUAGCUGUCUUCAGAUACACCAGAAGAAGGCAUCGGAUCUCUUUACAGAUGGUUGUGAGCCACCAUGUGGUUGCUGGGAAUUGAACUCAGGACCUCUGGAAGAGUAGUCGGGUGCUCUUAACCGCUGAGCCAUCUCUCCAGCCCGGACUACUGAAAUUUGACUCCCAGAAAAUGAGGUCACAUGUAGUAGCUCACAACCUCAGCUCUGAUCAAUCACAUGCUUCUGGCUUUUGAGGGCCACAUGUCCCUCACACACAUAAGUAAAAUAAAAUCUUUUUAAAAAGAAAAUGGUUUAAUAAAGAAAAAAAAAGAUGCAGGAAGCAAACAACUGAGAAGCCCCAGGAAUUCCCUGAAACUGAUCAUAAGCACUAAUCCCUCUAUUCCCCCAAUCUUAUUUAAACAAUAAGAACAGAUGAGACACUCUCAGACAAGCUGAGCUGCCUGGAAGAUACCCUCUCCAACCUAUCAAAUCAUAAGACAUGCUCCAGGAUUCUAGCUUUUGUGAGUUGUCAUUCCAAAGUUCACCAAGUUGGAUCCUUACUUUGGUUUGUCUUUGAGUGCAUGCUUCUAUUCAGGCCCUUCUCCAUCUUUUACAGUCCAGGAUCCUAUUUAGGGAAUGAUUCUACCCACAGUGGAUGGCUCUUCUGACCUCAAUUAACACAAUCAAGAUAACCUCCUGGGUUAUCUUAACCUAUCUGGGAUGUGUAGACAUUCAUUCUUAUCUCCCAGUAAUAGUGUCACACAACAGUCUACCUCACCUCUCUCCUCGAGUCUACAACACCCAGGCUCUACACUGUUCUUUCUAGAAUGUCCUACUUAUGUCUCAGCUCCUGCCCUCCAGCUAAAUCCUGUUUGGCCCCCAGGGCUCGUUGUUGAACUGCUUCUCAGCCUUCUGACUAAGAUCAAGAGUAGGUGUCAGCCGAGAUAGCACAGCUUCCAGGAAGACUUUCAGGAUUACCCUCUACCUGAGUGGGUCUCUUCCUUAGGCUCCCAAAGCCCAUUGCCUUCCCUCCUGUGUACCCACCCUCGGUAUGCCCCACUGCUGGACAUCUUCCUCCAUCAGCCCAUGUUUCCCUUUGGGACAGUUGCUGGAACGCUCUCUCUUGCUUGUCUUCAUUUCCUUGGGGCUGCGCACAAAUGUCAGGCACAGAGCCAUUCCCCAGGGGAUCCUGUUGAGUUUGUGCUGCAACAAUAGCAACCUCUUGCAUAUGGAGUUUCCUAGCUUCAAAGGACUCUUAGAUGGGGGCUGGGGAUUUAGCUCAGUGGUAGAGCGCUUAAGCGCAAGGCCCUGGGUUCGGUCCCCAGCUCCGAAAAAAAAGAACCAAAAAAAAAAAAAAAAAAAAAAGACUCUUAUAUGGCUGUCAUGAUGCUCACAGAAGAAACAGGGUUUGAGGUCGUCAAGUAUGGUGGGAGAUCAGGUACUUGCCCCCUGCAGCACAGGCUGACCGCCCACACCGUCUCCCCCGACUCCCGGGAGGUGGGCGGGGAUAUGCUUGUAAUAUAUUUAGUUCCAAGUGGGAGUCUCUGCAGAGCUCCCCGGCUUGCUGUUUCAAGGAGGGUGGGGUGGGGAGGAGGCCAGGAAUUGUUGCUUUCAGGGCUCAGAGAGGAGCUGGGGCCAGCUUUGUUAGCUGAUGCCCGGAGUGGGCGCGAUCUCAGGAAUGCGCACCUUAAGAGCCAGGGGCUCUCUUCUGCGACAGUUCAGUCGCUGCAAGGCAGAGAAUCCCAAAAAAUGCAGGGGGGAAACCCAGAACAAGAAGGUGGAUGGCCAACUGAACUAGUUCAUCCACUUGGAAUUAUUGGCAACAAUCGAGAAAUAAUAUUUCAGAGCCAGAUGUAGUGCACGCCUGUAACCUCAGCCCUGGACGAUCAGGAGUCCAAAGCCAUCCUCAGUUACUUCACGAGUUAGAGGACAGCCUUGGCUACGUGUGACCUUGCCUCAAAAUUGAAGCCGAGGUUGUAAAUCAGCGCUAGAACACUUGGUAAAAUUGUGGGAGGCUCUGGGUUCCAUCUUUAGUGUGGAAAAAAAAUGAAUACAAAUGCAAGCCUGUUGAUGCACUACAUAUGUGCUGUAUGUAUAGGACAAAGGCGAACAAAGAUGGCGUCUGUGGUGAGACAGACAGUGACUGGGAUGACUCGAGUCACAGUCCUGCUGCUUGCAUACUGUGAACUGGCACAACCCAGCCACGCUGUGCCUCAGUUUCUUCAUGUAAAGGAAGGAGAAAGAAAAUGUCGUACAAGGGCACCACUAAAAUUAAAUGGGUUAUAUUUGUCAGGCUAUGUAAGAUAACCCAUACCACAUACUAAGAGUCAGCUAUUAUAAGUGACAUUUGUCACCUUAGUUAUAUCAAGUUUGUAUAAAUAAUAAGUAUACAUGUAAAUAAUAAUAAUAAUAAUAAUAAUAAUAAUAAUAAUAAUAAUAAUAAUAAUGGGAUAGAAAAAUGUUAACCAUAUUUUGGGGGUGUGUGUGGGUUAGGGUUAAGAUAUAGUUUUUAUUCUCUUUUUUUCUUUUACUUUCAUUGGGGGCGGGGAGGUGUUUUUUGUUUGUGUGUUUUUGUUUUGCAGACAGGGCCUCACCAUGUAUCCCCAACUGUUCUGGAACUUGAUAUGUAGACCAGAAUCACAGAGAUCUGCCUGCCUCUGUCUCUUAAGUGCUGGGAUUAAAGUGCCGGGGUGGAACCCAGUAUCUCAAACAUGCCGAACAAGUCCUCCAUGCUGGGCGACAUCAUAGUCCUCUCCAGCUCGUCUAUGGUGAGGGUCUACUGCUCGAAAUUAUCCAGAAAGAAUAAACCUUGUUCCCCGACAGACAACAAUUGCUGGAAGACGGACUUGAAAGGACCUUCUGUUUGGACAUAAGAGGGAUUGUAUCUCUGCCAUCACCACCCGGACACCCCGGGAACACACCCACAUCAAUGUCGGGAUGACAGCUCACAGGUAGCCCUUCUCUAAACAGUCUGGGCUGUGCCUUCCAUCUCUCAUCUGCUGCUUUAAUGAUUUUAUACGACAUCUGUUGAAACAAAUAGCCUGGGCUGUUUAAAUACCCACAGCUAUAAACUGUCACCACCUGACGGGUAGAGACGGCUCCCCAGGCAGGCAGCAUCAAAAAGGAGACUAAAUCACUCUGUCCACUCCUGCCGGUGUCACACUCCCAGGAUCCAGGGAGACAAGGGCAUGAACAGAGAAGGAAAUGCCAGCUUCUGGGAAAGUGAUUCUGGCCUCAUCUGUUGGCUUGCCAGGCCGGCAGCCUGCCAGAGAGAGAGUAUGCCAGCCAGCUGCCAGCUGGUCUGCAAACGACUGUGCCAAGCGCAUAGUAGGCAUGCAAUGGCUCCUCAUCAAAUCCAGUAAGAAUUUUGCCACUUGCAUUCAGUGCAUGUGUGUCUGUCUUAGGUAGUGUCUGACACAAGACCAGGGAUGCCCGUAGGUGGUUCUCACCUCCUUUUUUUUUUUUUUUUUAAGGAAUUAUUUUUAUUAUUUUAAAAUCACGUGUAUGGGUGUGUAUCUGCAUGUGGGCACGUGCUCAGGAUAGCAGGUACCCUAGGGUGCAGGAGGAGGUCCCUGAGACAGGCAGGAGCCAGAGUUACAGGUGGUUGUGAGCCUGUUCAGGUUGUGACCUGAACGCUGGGAACGAAACCCGUACUCUUUUGUUCUUUUUUCAGAGCUGGGGACCGAACCCAGGCCCUUGUGCUUCCUAGGCAAGCGCUCUACUACUGAGCUAAAUCCCCAACCCCGCCAGUACUCUUAACCUUAACUCAAGCCAUCCCUCUAGCCCUGCCCCCUUCAGGCCAUUUUGCUGAGGCUUCUGUGCAUCCUGAGGCUAUUGUGGCCCCUGUGCUAGAUGUCUGCUUUAGACUCGGAUAUAGCUUUUCUCAACCUCUCUUGGAAUAUUGCUUUAAACGAUCAUGAUAACAGUUGUCAAGGUCUUACCGCUCUCUGUCUCCCACCUUUAGUGGUUUUUAACUUGUUUGGAAACAAGGUAUUGCCACUGUAGCCCAGGCUGGCCUCGAACUCCUGUGCACAGUAUAGUCCCCGACUCCUGAGUUCGCUUGGAUUAUAGAUCUGUGUCACCAUGCCUGGGUACUCCUUUCCUAAUUUUAUUUUAUCCAUCUCUCUACCCAUGUAUGCAUGUACGCAUUCAUUUCCUUGCACACAUGUACGUGUGCACCCACUGACCUCACCCACAUGUCUAUGCAUCCGAGAAUCCAUUCAUUCAUCCCUCUAUCCAUGAAUCCAUCCACUUACGGAUCCAUUCAUUUUCCACGUAUACAUGGAUACAGCCAUUCACCUGCCCCUAUAUCCAUCCAUCCAUCCAUCCAUCCAUGCAUCUGUCCAUCCAUCCACUGUGAAACAGCCACCUGUUGCUAGGAAAGUGACCUCUUGGGAGAUUUCCGAUCUUUAAAUCACCUGCAUUCUGACAGGCAGCCAGGUGGCCAGACCCUGGACUCACAGGGCAAGUUCUGGAUGCUGUGGGCACAGAGAGGAGGGGUUACACACCCAUCAGAAAUCUCACAGAAGGCUGCAGGAGCAUCAUGUGGGGCUGAAGGCAUGGAUGUUUCAGUGGUUAAAAGCACUUGCUCCGGGGUUGGGGAUUUAGCUCAGCGGAAGAGCGCUUGCCUAGCGAGCGCAAGGCCCUGGGUUCGGUCCCCAGCUCCGAAAAAAAAAAGAAAAAAAAGUAUAUAAAAAAGCACUUGCUCCUUUUCCAGAGGACCCAUGUUCAGUUCCCAGAACUUACACUGGGUAGCUUACAAACCCCCUGUAACUCUGACACCCUCGUGUGGUCUCUGAGAACAUGCACACACGCACGCACACAUGCACGGGCAUGCACACACACACACACACACACACACACACACACACACACACACACACACCAUGCCUGAGAAUACAUACAGACACAUAUACAUAAAUACAGAUAAUUUUUUUAGAUUAACUAUAAUGCUCAAGCAUACUAGGGAAAUGGGCGGGGGAGGGGGAGAUGGUGGACCCAUGUCCCAGUCAGACAGCCCUGGUUUAGAUCCAACCUUUCACUGGUUCCAUGUUCUUGGUCCAGCCCUUGGCCAUUUCUGAGCUUCCUUUCCUCAUCACUAGGUAGAGAAAGGGAUACAUCUGAGCAGGGUAACAGAGAGGGUUACCUUAGACUGCCAAGCACCAGGUGUGUAUAAGUGUCACACCAGGAACACUGACUGCUGGCCACCAGAUGUCCCCUUCCACAGACGCAGAGACCCAGGUGGUUGGGAUUGCGUGCAGCACUUGUAGCGAGCUGAGAUUUUUCCAGCUGCUGCCCUGGGCUGUGACUGGUGUCUAGGGCAUAGAAUCCUACAGCAUAGUAGGCUAAGCCAGAUUGAUUGGCAUUUGGUUGUCCUCCCUUGGAUCUAAUUAUCAAGGACCUUACGGGGAAAUCUUCAAAGACUGCAUCCUUGGGUCUCCAUCACCUUCGCUGAAUGCCCUCAUACUUCCUCCCGCGGGGAAGUAAGGAAGUCGUGUACUUGUGAGAUUCCAGCAUUCCCAGCCUACAGGUGUGCUUUGGCCUCCCAGCAA